rnacentral:rRNA from 1 species
GACGAGGGAUCCUAGCGUUGCUCGGAAUCAUUGGGCGUAAAGCGGGUGUAGGGGGCUUUGUAAGUCAGGUGUGAAAGCCCAGGGCUCAACCCUGGAAGUGCAUUUGAUACUGCGAAGCUUGAGUGCUAGAGAGGUCACUGGAAUACCUGGUGUAGUGGUGAAAUACGUAGAUAUCAGGUGGAACACCGGAGGCGAAGGCGGGUGACUGGCUAGACACUGACCCUGAGACCCGAAAGCGUGGGGAUCAAACAGG